rnacentral:tRNA from 1 species
GCCGGCGUAGCUCAGUUGGUAGAGCACUUCAUUCGUAAUGAAGGGGUCCGCGGUUCAAGUCCGCGCGUCGGCU